rnacentral:tRNA from 1 species
UCCGUGGUGGCCUAGUGUUUAAGGACCAGCAUUGUCACUGCUGUGGCUCUGGUUCCAUUCCUGACCCAGGAA